rnacentral:lncRNA from 1 species
CCCAUACCCCGUCUGGUAUGGGUGCCAAAAACCAUAAACCUCAAUACCCCGUCCGGUAUGAGGGUGAAACGGGCCAUCCCCAUACCCCGUCCAGUAUGAGCGCCAAAACAAAUAAGGUCUCCAUACCCCGUCCGAUAUGAGAGACCACGUUCUCGGUAGGGUUCCCUACGGACCCGGUCCGUCCACCAUCUCCCAGGAUAUCUAGUUAGGCUGUCGACAUCAUCCAUUUAUCAAUUCAUAUACCUUCUUUCAUUUUUCUUGGUCUCAAUUAUCCAAUCAAAUAUGAACACGUAAACUAGUAAUGAACACCAAAUAAGACAACAAUGAAUUCACAAUAAUUCAAACCAUAAUAAAUGAAACCGUGAUUCAUGUACACGAAACCAUAAAAUAAACACAUCAGAUACCAUAUUACAUUUAAAACUGUAAAAUAGAUCAAACAACAACUGACCGAAAAAUACAUCAGAUU